UAACAUGUGCUCUACAGCUGCUUUUUGUUCCACCCAGCAAGGUUCAAAUUCACCAAUGAGAUUAAUACAAUGUCAGAGUUAUGUUCCUGUAGCUAAAACUCUUAUCUGGUUUUCUCAUUCAGUGUCUCCGUCUUUCAUUCUCUGAGGUAUACGGGCAGACUGAGUGCUGACUGACGGCCGGAAUUAAGAAUGUGCACACACACUGGCAACUCUCCCUGCAGUACCUCAUAACGUUUAAUCAAAACCAUGCCCGGCACUUGCCCCCGACUUUCCACCGCAGCUACUCCAGUAUUCUUAAACAGAAAAUAAAGUAGUCCUUUUCUUCCCUGUUGAUCUUUUUUCAUACAGUGGAAAGUUUACACAAAGGGGAGCCUUAUCCCUGGAGCCUGCCUCUCUCUCUCCUUAAAUACCUGCAGGAUGAAAUCAAACUCCAUUUUGAAAAUUACAUUAUAAGUUUUCCUCUCUCUCUCUUUCUCUCUCUCUCUCUCUUUCUCUUCCUUUCCUCUGAGCUCGUCAGAUCAGUCCAGCUUUCCAACUCUCCAGGAGAGGCUCAGCCAUCAUUCUGUGGGCGUCAGAAGUCGAUGCAGGUCUUAAUUAAUGCAAGGGGGUUUCAUGGGAGAAGGCUGCAGCUAUGAAGAGCUUUGCCAGAGAAAAUAAAGGAAGCUGGAACAGGAGGUCAAAGGUUGGGAUCUGCCGCAGAGAAGAAACUGGAGGGAAUUCAGACACUUACAAAUAAAGUGCAAAGUGCUUCUGAUCGUGUGCGGCUUGUUUUCUUAGUUACUCCCAUCUGAUGAGGUCAUCACGCUGCGUCAGGUUGGCGGCGCGCUGGGUGCUGUCCCGCAGCUGUGGAGCAUCAGGCUGGAAAUCCCCUCAUCCUCAGUCCUGGGCCUCCGACUGUGUACAUACGAACUUGAGUGUACAGAAUGUGGGGAGGUGUGUGUGUGAGGCUGGCUGUGCCUGUUGAGCUUGGCUGCCGGUGUGUGUAUUUAGGUGCUGGCUUUUGUGGAUGGGGCAUUUGAGAGUGUUUUAUUUUGUAUGUUUGUGCGAGUGUGUCGGCAUGUUUGUGUGUUUGAAUUCUGGAUUCUCUCAGCCCAUGUGAGCCCGGCAUGUAGUUGUGUGUGGCCUACUGAGAGGAGGCGUGUGGCAUGA